AGAUUGCGGUGAUCUACUACCCGCACAAAGGUUUUGUGUUCUGAACACAUUACAGUAAAGUAUUUACUGUUCGAAUUUGAAUUUCAAAUUUAAAUGAAUGCAUGCUAUAUAUCAUAUUUAGAUCCUAGUGUAGGAUAAAUUCAUGUUAAUUAAUUAGAUUAAUUAAUAUUUUUUUACUGCAAAAUCAUAAUUUUGAAAAAA
rnacentral:lncRNA from 1 species